rnacentral:lncRNA from 1 species
GGGAGCUCACCCCUGCAGUGAGAGUGGCACUGCACCAAUCAGCUACCUUGGACAGUGGCCCCGGGCUUCACACCCCUGCCGAGGGGAGACAGAGCCCAGGAAUUGGGGCCCCCCAACCCUCACCCCUGCCGUGGGCACACAGAGCCCAGAAAUCGGGGCCCCCGACUCCCCCACCCCUGCUGCAGAAAGACAGAGCCCAGGAAUCAGACCCUCCCAUCCCUACCCUCCGUCCAGCACUGCCCUGAGUGUAGCUCUGUCCCCAGUCCCUGUGAGGUGCUUCUAGGAAACAACCCACAUUUUGCAGUCCUGGGGGAGCUCGCAUUUUGAAGUGCAGUUUUGGAGGAGAACCCCUCCAAACCAGUGGAUGCCAAGCAGGGAGGGGGUAGCUUUUGUAGGCUGACGUCCGACCCCUGCUCUGUUGUUGGAACACAAAUCUGGGCUACUUUAUUGAUAUUAGUUACCUGCUGCGCCUCUGAGCACCUCCCGGCUUCCUUGCUGUGCUCUGAAAACGCAGGAAAGUUCAAAACUGAAGAUCUGCAAGCUGUGUGGGCUUUUGCGAGGUGGCUGUCCUAUAGUUCCAGCAUGAGUAGUGGCUUUACCGCCCAGCCCAGCAAGCUGAAAAUCAGGCUGAAACCCUGUGAGAAAUCUUAUUGAAGAAGACCUUUGCCGAUCAUUGCUUGCUCGGCCACAGGCUGACCCAUCCCUGGUAAGAAGGCCAAAUACCUGCCGUCCAUCCUCGUCCAUCCUGCGAAGUGGAGCUUGUCUGCAUUUACUGACAGCGAGCAGCAUUCCUCCCCUUCUACUGUUGAAUAAAAUGUGGCUCAU